UACGGGGGGGGCAAGCGUUGUUCGGAAUUACUGGGCGUAAAGCGCACGUAGGCGGCUUUGUAAGUUAGAGGUGAAAGCCCGGGGCUCAACCCCGGAACUGCCUUUAAGACUGCAUCGCUUGAAUCCGGGAGAGGUGAGUGGAAUUCCGAGUGUAGAGGUGAAAUUCGUAGAUAUUCGGAAGAACACCAGUGGCGAAGGCGGCUCACUGGACCGGUAUUGACGCUGAGGUGCGAAAGCGUGGGGAGCAAACAGG
rnacentral:rRNA from 1 species